AUAUUGCGCCGUAAAUUGCAUGCAUCUUUUUUGCAUUACAGGAUCUGUAGCGUUAUGGUCAAAGACAAUCCAUAACGCUACAGAUCUGCAGCUACAUCUAUAUUCAGUGUCUAUGGUGGUGAUGAGCUCUGGUUCAUCAAGCAGUGGUUUGACUGGAGGACAGGAUACAGCUUCUGUUGUAAUGGAUAAUGCUGACAGAGAACCAAACAUUUGAUGGAGCUGUUCUGUAUUGAUCUGACGA